rnacentral:pre_miRNA from 1 species
CAAUGUGCUUUUGUCAUCUCAACCUUGUGUCAGAUUUUUGUCUGGUUCUCGCAAGGGAAAACAAAAUCUGACUCAAGGUUGAGGUAGCAAAAGAUUAGCAUUGU